rnacentral:rRNA from 1 species
UACGUAGGGGGCAAGCGUUGUCCGGAAUCAUUGGGCGUAAAGAGCGUGUAGGCGGCCCGGUAAGUCCGUUGUGAAAGUCGAGGGCUCAACCCUCGAAUGCCGGCGGAUACUGCCGGGCUAGAAUCCGGAAGAGGCGAGUGGAAUUCCUGGUGUAGCGGUGAAAUGCGUAGAUAUCGGGAGGAAUACCAGUGGCGAAGGCGGCUGCCUGGCCUGUUCUUGACGCUGAGGCGCGAAAGCUGGGGGAGCAAACGGG